UGAGCACCUUCUCAUUUAAAAAAAAUUGAGGGAGUUGGGAGGGGCUCGGUCCCGCUAAAUAAUUCUGGCCUGGAGCUUAAGCUAAAACAGGCUGGUUUGUGCCUCUGUCUCCUGAGUGCUGAGAUAUUUUUAAUAGAAAUAUCAAAUGUCCUGUGAGAGUACACAUGGGGUAUAAAGCUGAAUUUGGGGUAUACACCAGAAUUUCCUCUGAAGGUACAAAAACUGAUCAGAAGAGAAGUGAGUCUUGGUCAUCAUGUGUGGUUUUAUUUUUAAUUUGCUUUCUAGAUACAAGGUCUCAUAUAACUCAGACUGGCCUGGAACUUAUUACGUAGCUGGGGCUAAAUUUGUAUUCAGGACCUCCUGUCUGCACCUCCUAAUGCUGGGAUUUCAGACAGGGUUUUCUCUCUGAAGCCCUGGCAUUCCCGGAACUUAGUAUGUAGACCAGCCUUGAACUCACAGAGAUCUGCCUUACUGCUGGAUCUAAGGCUUACACCACAAGUUUUUAAAUUUAUGUUUAAAUAAAAAUUAAAUGGGAAGUCUGAAGAUUACAGAAAGGUAGUCGGGGAAAUUUUUCUUGCAUCUUUUGUUUUGCUUUGGUUUUUGGAAACAGUCUUGGGACUGGAGCGAUGACUCAGCAGAUAAGAGCCAUCUUCCAGGGCUGUUCUUCCAGAGGACCCAGGUUAAUUCCCAGGUCACACGUGGUGACUUAUGGCUGGCGAGCUCUAGUUUCUGGGCUCUCC
rnacentral:lncRNA from 1 species